ACGAGGCACUACGGUGCUGAAGCAACAAAUGCCCUGCUUCCAGGAAAAGCCUCUAAGCAUCAGGUAACAUCAAAUCGUACCCCAAACCGACACAGGUGGUCAGGUAGAGAAUACCAAGGCGCUUGAGAGAACUCGGGUGAAGGAACUAGGCAAAAUGGUGCCGUAACUUCGGGAGAAGGCACACUGACACGUAGGUGAAGUGAUUUACUCACGGAGCUGAAGUCAGUCGAAGAUACCAGCUGGCUGCAACUGUUUAUUAAAAACACAGCACUGUGCAAACACGAAAGUGGACGUAUACGGUGUGACGCCUGCCCGGUGCCGGAAGGUUAAUUGAUGGGGUCAGCGCAAGCGAAGCUCCUGAUCGAAGCCCCGGUAAACGGCGGCCGUAACUAUAACGGUCCUAAGGUAGCGAAAUUCCUUGUCGGGUAAGUUCCGACCUGCACGAAUGGCGUAAUGAUGGCCAGGCUGUCUCCACCCGAGACUCAGUGAAAUUGAACUCGCUGUGAAGAUGCAGUGUACCCGCGGCAAGACGGAAAGACCCCGUGAACCUUUACUAUAGCUUGACACUGAACAUUGAGCCUUGAUGUGUAGGAUAGGUGGGAGGCUUUGAAGUGUGGACGCCAGUCUGCAUGGAGCCGACCUUGAAAUACCACCCUUUAAUGUUUGAUGUUCUAACGUGGACCCGUAAUCCGGGUUGCGGACAGUGUCUGGUGGGUAGUUUGACUGGGGCGGUCUCCUCCUAAAGAGUAACGGAGGAGCACGAAGGUUGGCUAAUCCUGGUCGGACAUCAGGAGGUUAGUGCAAUGGCAUAAGCCAGCUUGACUGCGAGCGUGACGGCGCGAGCAGGUGCGAAAGCAGGUCAUAGUGAUCCGGUGGUUCUGAAUGGAAGGGCCAUCGCUCAACGGAUAAAAGGUACUCCGGGGAUAACAGGCUGAUACCGCCCAAGAGUUCAUAUCGACGGCGGUGUUUGGCACCUCGAUGUCGGCUCAUCACAUCCUGGGGCUGAAGUAGGUCCCAAGGGUAUGGCUGUUCGCCAUUUAAAGUGGUACGCGAGCUGGGUUUAGAACGUCGUGAGACAGUUCGGUCCCUAUCUGCCGUGGGCGCUGGAGAACUGAGGGGGGCUGCUCCUAGUACGAGAGGACCGGAGUGGACGCAUCACUGGUGUUCGGGUUGUCAUGCCAAUGGCACUGCCCGGUAGCUAAAUGCGGAAGAGAUAAGUGCUGAAAGCAUCUAAGCACGAAACUUGCCCCGAGAUGAGUUCUCCCUGAGACUUAGAGUCUCCUGAAGGAACGUUGAAGACGACGACGUUGAUAGGCCGGGUGUGUAAGCGCAGCGAUGCGUUGAGCUAACCGGUACUAAUGAACCGUGAGGCUUAACC
rnacentral:rRNA from 1 species